CUGGCUCAGGAUGAACGCUGGCGGCGUGCCUAAUACAUGCAAGUCGAACGAGGGUAGCAAUACCCUAGUGGCGAACGGGUGAGUAACACGUAGGUAACCUGCCUUUGAGACUGGGAUACCCAGACGAAAGUUUGGCUAAUACCGGAUAACAACGGUCUUCGCAUGAAGAUCGCUUGAAAGUCGCGUUUGCGACACUCUUAGAUGGACCUGCGGCACAUUAGCUAGUUGGUGAGAUAACAGCCCACCAAGGCGAGGAUGUGUAGCCGACCUGAGAGGGUGAACGGCCACAAUGGGACUGAGACACGGCCCAUACUCCUACGGGAGGCAGCAGUAGGGAGUUUUCGGCAAUGGGCGAAAGCCUGACCGAGCAACGCCGCGUGAGUGAUGAAGGUCUUCGGAUUGUAAAGCUCUGUUACGAGGGAUGAACAGCCACUUCAGGAAAUGGGAAUGGCCUGACAGUACCUCGCCAGAAAGUGACGGCUAACUACGUGCCAGCAGCCGCGGUAAUACGUAGGUCACGAGCGUUAUCCGGAAUUAUUGGGCGUAAAGAGUGAGCAGGCGGCAUGGCAAGUCUGAGGUGAAAGCGUGGGGCUCAACCCCAUACAGCCUUGGAAACUACCAAGCUAGAGUGCGUGAGAGGUAAACGGAACUCCAUGUGUAGCGGUGAAAUGCGUAGAUAUAUGGAAGAACACCGGUGGCGAAGGCGGUUUACCAGCAUGACACUGACGCUCAGUCACGAAAGCGUGGGGAGCAAAUAGGAUUAGAUACCCUAGUAGUCCACGCUGUAAACGAUGAUAACUAACUAUUUCCGUAAGGGAGUGGUGAAGCUAACGCAUUAAGUUAUCCGCCUGGGAAGUACGGUCGCAAGACUGAAACUUAAAGGAAUUGACGGGACCCCGCACAAGUAGUGGAGCAUGUGGUUUAAUUCGACGCUACGCGGAAAACCUUACCAGAACUUGACAUGGAGGCUAAGGCUUCUAGAAAUAGGAGAGAUAUAUGUCUCACACAGGUGGUGCAUGGUUGUCG
rnacentral:rRNA from 1 species